rnacentral:rRNA from 1 species
AAAGUCUCCUCCGGGGGGCGAGUAGAGUGGCGCACGGGUGAGUAACACGUAGGUAAUCUACCUUUGGAUUGGGAAUAACAACCGGAAACGGUUGCUAAUACCGAAUAAUGCAGCGGCACCUAAUGGUGACAGUUGUUAAAGCGGGGGAUCGCAAGACCUCGCGUCUGAAGAGGAGCCUGCGGCAGAUUAGCUAGUUGGUAAGGUAACGGCUUACCAAGGCUAUGAUCUGUAGCCGGCCUGAGAGGGCGGUCGGCCACACUGACACUGACAUACGGGUCAGACUCCUACGGGAGGCAGCAGUCGGGAAUUUUGGGCAAUGGGCGAAAGCCUGACCCAGCAACGCCGCGUGAAGGAUGAAAUCCUUCGGGAUGUAAACUUCGCAAGAACGGGAAGAAUAAGUAAGGGUUAAUAUCCCUUAUGAUGACGGUACUGUUUGUAAGCUCCGGCUAACUCCGUGCCAGCAGCCGCGGUAAUACGGGGGGAGCAAGCGUUGUUCGGAUUUACUGGGCGUAAAGGGCGCGUAGGCGGCCACCGCAAGUCGACUGUGAAAUCUCCGGGCUUAACCCGGAAAGGUCAGCCGAUACUGCGGGGCUAGAGUGCAGAAGGGGCAACUGGAAUUCUCGGUGUAGCGGUGAAAUGCGUAGAUAUCGAGAGGAACACCUGCGGCGAAGGCGGGUUGCUGGGCUGACACUGACGCUGAUGUGCGAAAGCUAGGGGAGCGAACGGGAUUAGAUACCCCGGUAGUCCUAGCCUUAAACGAUGAAUGCUUGGCGUCUGGGGUUUUAUAGU